GGAGCUGGGGGUUCACUGCUACACCCUCCCCUGCAGAACCUGAACCCUCUCAAGUACACAGUUUCUCACAGGGCUGUCCGAGGUAGAGAACAAUGGUUUCAACCUCGCACUGCUGCUGACUUAGCCACUCACCCCUCGGGGUUGGGCAAGCAGCUCCCAAACCCAAGAACUGGAAAGGAGACCUGGAUGACUGACCCAUAUUAUAGAGCCAGUGUUCUGGGUCUACUGAGGCCACGACGAAGCUGUGUGACCCAGAACAAGUAGCAACCUCUCUGUGCAUCUCCUCAAUGGUUAAAACAAAAUGGGGUAAAAGUAAAACUCAUCCUGAGAUUAAAUUGCCUGUAAAUGUUUGACAUAGAGCCUGGUACAUAGUGAUUAAUAGAUAUUAGCCAUAAUCGAAGA